UCGCGAAUCAUUCACAAUGGGCGCAAGCCUGAUGAUGCCACGCCGUGUGCGGGAUGAAGGCCCUUUGGGUUGUAAACCGCUGUCAAGGGAGGGGAACCGCCGUACGUGAAUAGCGUCCGGUCUGACUGCUCCCGAAAGGAAGCCCCGGCAAAACAUGUGCCAGCAGCCGCGGUAAUACAUGUGGGGCAAGCGUUGUUCGGAAUUACUGGGCAUAAAGGGUGCGUAGGCGGUCUGUUAAGUCACCGGUGAAAGUUUGCGGCCCAACCGUAAAAGUGCCGGUGAUACUGGCGGACUUGAGUGCGUGAGGGGUAGGGGGAACGAGCAGUGUAGCGGUGAAAUGCGUAGAUAUUGCUCGGAAGGCCAGAGCCGAAGGGGCCCUACUGGUGCGCAACUGACGCUGAGGCACGAAAGCGUGGGGAGCAAACAGGAUUAGAUACCCCGGUAGUCC
rnacentral:rRNA from 1 species